CGAAAAGGCAAGCCCCGCUCAUGGAAGCAGCUAGGGCUGCGGCCAGCUGGGAGGAGGGAGACAGGAGGCCAAAGGCAGGGAAGCCCAGCCGCUCCGCAUAAAGAGCCCUUGUGCUUCAAGCCCUGGCCCCCGGCACCACUGACGCAGCACCGCCCUCUGCAAACACUCUGACCUUCUACUUGCAGGUGCCAAAGAAUCCUGAAGGCGACGCAGAGAUUAAGUGCAGCUCUGGCCCAGUCCUCUCACUGAAUGAAAUCCGUGGAGACCUAAGGAAGCUUUAAUUCUGUAAAGGCUUCUGUUCGGGCUGAAUGCACAGUGCUGAGCCUAAGAUAAGAAAUGUGCAUAAAGGAUAAAUGUACGAUUGAACUGAGAAAAUAGCCACCACCAAGGCCAGCACUCCACGCGCCUCCCAACACGCUGACUUCUGGAAGCCACCCUCAUGCUGAUACUGGUGCCGACAUGGAGCUUCUCCUUGUAGCCGUAUCGUCUACGGAUGGUGAUGCCAUCACAUGGUACGCAUGCGUCAUGUGGACGAAAGCACAGUGCACUGUCCUUUCAUGUCUGCCUUUUCUGGGUCAGCGUCACAGUACUGGGUGUGGGGAGCUGUCCCUCUGCUCGUUUGCACUGCAGUCCUCAGGAACAAAGAGCACGGAUUUGCCCGUGUCACUGCUGAGGGACACUCGGGUGGUUCCCCUUCUGGUUUCUAAAUCGGGUCUACCAAUUUACACUCCCGCCGGCACCAGGGCGGGUGGGGUUCCUGCUCCUCCAUGUGCUUGCCAGCUCUUGGAACUGUUACAGAUUUUCAUUUGUGCAAAUCUGGUGCGCACAUAAUAAAAUCAUUUCCUCCUCUCAGUAAUGCUGCUCAAGCCUGUAACCCACUGUUCCACUGAACUGCCUGCUUCUUGCGAACUGUGCAAGUGCU